rnacentral:rRNA from 1 species
ACUUAAAUUGAAGAGUUUGAUCAUGGCUCAGAUUGAACGCUGGCGGCAGGCCUAACACAUGCAAGUCGAGCGGUAGCACAGAGAGCUUGCUCUCGGGUGACGAGCGGCGGACGGGUGAGUAAUGUCUGGGAAACUGCCUGAUGGAGGGGGAUAACUACUGGAAACGGUAGCUAAUACCGCAUAACGUCGCAAGACCAAAGUGGGGGACCUUCGGGCCUCAUGCCAUCAGAUGUGCCCAGAUGGGAUUAGCUAGUAGGUGGGGUAACGGCUCACCUAGGCGACGAUCCCUAGCUGGU